GACGAACGCUGGCGGCGUGCUUAACACAUGCAAGUCGAACGGAAAGGCCCUGCUUUUGUGGGGUGCUCGAGUGGCGAACGGGUGAGUAACACGUGAGUAACCUGCCCUUGACUUUGGGAUAACUUCAGGAAACUGGGGCUAAUACCGGAUAGGAGCUCCUGCUGCAUGGUGGGGGUUGGAAAGUUUCGGCGGUUGGGGAUGGACUCGCGGCUUAUCAGCUUGGUGGUGGGGUAGUGGCUUACCAAGGCUUUGGCGGGUAGCCGGGCUGAGAGGGUGACCGGCCCAGUUUGGACUGAGAUACGGCCCAGACUCCUACGGGAGGCAGCAGUGGGGAAUAUUGCACAAUGGGCGGAAGCCUGAUGCAGCAACGCCGCGUGCGGGAUGACGGCCUUCGGGUUGUAAACCGCUUUCGCCUGUGACGAAGCGUGAGUGACGGUAAUGGGUAAAGAAGCACCGGCUAACUACGUG
rnacentral:rRNA from 1 species